AUAUGUUUAAUUAAAAAGUGUAAGACUUAUACACUGAAAACUGCAAAGCAUUGUUGAAAGAAAAUUUAGAAGACCUAAAUAAAUAGAAAGACAUUCUGUGUUUAAGGAGCAGAAGACAAUGUUGUUAAGAUGACAACUUUCCUCCAAAUUAACAAACACAUUCAGUGCAAAACCUUCCAAACUUUCACUGGCAGUUUUUGCAGAAAUUGAAAAGUUGACCCCAAAAUGCAUGUGGAAAUGCAAAGGACCCAGAAUAGCCAAAACUAGUUUGAAAAAAGAAAAAAACAAAACAAAGGCCCUAACUGGUUUGGCUCAGUGUAUAGAGCAUCGGC